UCCACGUGGCCGCAGGCAGGUUAAUUAACUGCUUGGAGGCUUGGUUGCCUCACCGGCGUGUCUGCGUGUUUGUUUUUAAAGGAAUGACAAUGGCUCUCCGAGGACUAAAUGAGCUCCGGAAAUGUGUAGCCAGUUGCCUGAAGCCCGUGAACUAGGAAGUGGCUGAGCCAGGAUUUGAGGAGCCUUCUGACUCCUGUGUUCCUUGUACUCCUUUGUCUCUACCACACUCUUUCCCCAAAUGCCCACCUGCCGCAGCCUUUUGGAGCUCCUGUGGUUGGAUAAAGCCAGGGCAAUUCUUUGGAUGUCAAUCAUUUUGAAAGGCGACUUUCUUGCAUGACUUGGUAAGAUCUGAAAGGAGGAUAACCACAAUGGGGAGGCUGUGGUGAAUCGUCCUCAGGCAGCUGGCGGUCUUGAGCAUCGAAAUGUAAUUGCUCUAUUUUAUUCACCACGGCCUGCCCGCUGUGUUCAUCAGACUGCCCAGUGGAACAGAAGGCAAUCAGGGCCGAGGCAGCCUUAGAAAGUCAGGCACACACAAACCAAAGUUAAAAAUAUGUAAAAAAUUACUUGAAUCUGAUUUGCUCUCAUACUACUCAAUUUCUGGAUAAGAACAAGAGGAAACAGUGCAAAACUGGGGCACUAAAAUUCAUCUUCGCUGAAGAAAAUGCAGGGAGAGCUGUGAACAUUUAAUAACCUCAGUAUCCAACUGCCCAUAGUAAGUGCUUGUUUAAUGCAUAGACCAGACAGGGAGAUUCAGAAGGCAGGCAACUCAAGGCCUUUUCAAUUUAUUUAAGGAACUCUUUGAUCUGUUUUGAAAUUUAGGAUUCUGCUUUUGACUUUGUUAGAUAAAGUUGGAGUAGGAAUGAAUUAUUCAUAUGAAAUAUUGCCUCAAUAACACUGCAUCAAAUAAACAUAAUGAAAAGCUGCCCAUGUUAUAUAAGGGAAGCUAAGUCACAACUCUUUUGAAUUGCAAAGUUAAGCACUCCGGGCUAGACUCUUCUCCGACAUUACCCUAUGGAAGAGUCCACUUAGGAGGAUGUAACACUCAGAUCCUUUUUAUUUCCGGUCAGACAUGCAUUUGUGGUUUAUGGGUUUAAACUACAGUUGUAACCAUGCUGUUAUUAAACCUUACAGAAGUAAGUCAAUCGGAGAAGGACAAACAUUAUAUGUUCUCAUUCAUGUGGGGAAUAUAAAUAAUAGUGAAAGGGAAUAGAAGGGAAAGGAGAAGAAAUGUGUGGGAAAUAUC